GGCUCGUUAUCCUCCUCUGUCUGUCUGAUAUUCAGCCACAGUGUCUCAUCGCGUACACGCGCCUUUCUCUAUAAAGAUGGAGGAUAGAUGGUGGAUUUGGCUCUCACGUGGACCAGAACUUCGAGAUAUAUCCCCUGCGGAAAAUGGAGCAGUGAUGACAUCUUGCACUACACAGAUUUAUGUCCAAUCAGAUGCUCUCUUGAAGGAGAAUGUCCUGCCCCCUUAUGCCGCAUACAACUGACUAGUAAGUAGUAAAUCAUGGCAGUUACGUGGCUAUUUAAAAAAAUUUAAAAAACAGAUUAUCUA
rnacentral:lncRNA from 1 species